UUAAGUUAUUAAGGGCGCACGGUGGAUGCCUUGGCACUAGAAGCCGAUGAAGGACGUUACUAACGACGAUAUGCUUUGGGGAGCUGUAAGUAAGCUUUGAUCCAGAGAUUUCCGAAUGGGGAAACCCAGCAUGAGUUAUGUCAUGUUAUCGAUAUGUGAAUACAUAGCAUAUCAGAAGGCACACCCGGAGAACUGAAACAUCUUAGUACCCGGAGGAAGAGAAAGAAAAUUCGAUUCCCUUAGUAGCGGCGAGCGAAACGGGAAGAGCCCAAACCAACAAGCUUGCUUGUUGGGGUUGUAGGACACUCUAUACGGAGUUACAAAGGACGACAUUAGACGAAUCAUCUGGAAAGAUGAAUCAAAGAAGGUAAUAAUCCUGUAGUCGAAAAUGUUGUCUCUCUUGAGUGGAUCCUGAGUACGACGGAGCACGUGAAAUUCCGUUGGAAUCUGGGAGGACCAUCUCCUAAGGCUAAAUACUCUCUAGUGACCGAUAGUGAACCAGUACCGUGAGGGAAAGGUGAAAAGCACCCCGGAAGGGGAGUGAAAUAGAACCUGAAACCGUGUGCUUACAAGUAGUCAGAGCCCGUUAAUGGGUGAUGGCGUGCCUUUUGUAGAAUGAACCGGCGAGUUACGAUUUGAUGCAAGGUUAAGCAGUAAAUGUGGAGCCGUAGCGAAAGCGAGUCUGAAUAGGGCGUUUAGUAUUUGGUCGUAGACCCGAAACCAGGUGAUCUACCCUUGGUCAGGUUGAAGUUCAGGUAACACUGAAUGGAGGACCGAACCGACUUACGUUGAAAAGUGAGCGGAUGAACUGAGGGUAGCGGAGAAAUUCCAAUCGAACCUGGAGAUAGCUGGUUCUCUCCGAAAUAGCUUUAGGGCUAGCCUCAAGUGAUGAUUAUUGGAGGUAGAGCACUGUUUGGACGAGGGGCCCCUCUCGGGUUACCGAAUUCAGACAAACUCCGAAUGCCAAUUAAUUUAACUUGGGAGUCAGAACAUGGGUGAUAAGGUCCGUGUUCGAAAGGGAAACAGCCCAGACCACCAGCUAAGGUCCCAAAAUAUAUGUUAAGUGGAAAAGGAUGUGGCGUUGCCCAGACAACUAGGAUGUUGGCUUAGAAGCAGCCAUCAUUUAAAGAGUGCGUAAUAGCUCACUAGUCGAGUGACACUGCGCCGAAAAUGUACCGGGGCUAAACAUAUUACCGAAGCUGUGGAUUGUCCUUUGGACAAUGGUAGGAGAGCGUUCUAAGGGCGUUGAAGCAUGAUCGUAUGGACAUGUGGAGCGCUUAGAAGUGAGAAUGCCGGUGUGAGUAGCGAAAGACGGGUGAGAAUCCCGUCCACCGAUUGACUAAGGUUUCCAGAGGAAGGCUCGUCCGCUCUGGGUUAGUCGGGUCCUAAGCUGAGGCCGACAGGCGUAGGCGAUGGAUAACAGGUUGAUAUUCCUGUACCACCUAUAAUCGUUUUAAUCGAUGGGGGGACGCAGUAGGAUAGGCGAAGCGUGCGAUUGGAUUGCACGUCUAAGCAGUAAGGCUGAGUAUUAGGCAAAUCCGGUACUCAUUAAGGCUGAGCUGUGAUGGGGAGAAGACAUUGUGUCUUCGAGUCGUUGAUUUCACACUGCCGAGAAAAGCCUCUAGAUAGAAAAUAGGUGCCCGUACCGCAAACCGACACAGGUAGUCAAGAUGAGAAUUCUAAGGUGAGCGAGCGAACUCUCGUUAAGGAACUCGGCAAAAUGACCCCGUAACUUCGGGAGAAGGGGUGCUCUUUAGGGUUAACGCCCAGAAGAGCCGCAGUGAAUAGGCCCAAGCGACUGUUUAUCAAAAACACAGGUCUCUGCUAAACCGUAAGGUGAUGUAUAGGGGCUGACGCCUGCCCGGUGCUGGAAGGUUAAGAGGAGUGGUUAGCUUCUGCGAAGCUACGAAUCGAAGCCCCAGUAAACGGCGGCCGUAACUAUAACGGUCCUAAGGUAGCGAAAUUCCUUGUCGGGUAAGUUCCGACCCGCACGAAAGGCGUAACGAUUUGGGCACUGUCUCAACGAGAGACUCGGUGAAAUCAUAGUACCUGUGAAGAUGCAGGUUACCCGCGACAGGACGGAAAGACCCCGUGGAGCUUUACUGUAGCCUGAUAUUGAAAUUCGGCACAGCUUGUACAGGAUAGGUAGGAGCCUUUGAAACGUGAGCGCUAGCUUACGUGGAGGCGCUGGUGGGAUACUACCCUAGCUGUGUUGGCUUUCUAACCCGCACCACUUAUCGUGGUGGGAGACAGUGUCAGGCGGGCAGUUUGACUGGGGCGGUCGCCUCCUAAAAGGUAACGGAGGCGCUCAAAGGUUCCCUCAGAAUGGUUGGAAAUCAUUCAUAGAGUGUAAAGGCAUAAGGGAGCUUGACUGCGAGACCUACAAGUCGAGCAGGGUCGAAAGACGGACUUAGUGAUCCGGUGGUUCCGUAUGGAAGGGCCAUCGCUCAACGGAUAAAAGCUACCCCGGGGAUAACAGGCUUAUCUCCCCCAAGAGUUCACAUCGACGGGGAGGUUUGGCACCUCGAUGUCGGCUCAUCGCAUCCUGGGGCUGUAGUCGGUCCCAAGGGUUGGGCUGUUCGCCCAUUAAAGCGGUACGCGAGCUGGGUUCAGAACGUCGUGAGACAGUUCGGUCCCUAUCCGUCGUGGGCGUAGGAAAUUUGAGAGGAGCUGUCCUUAGUACGAGAGGACCGGGAUGGACAUACCUCUGGUGUACCAGUUGUCGUGCCAACGGCAUAGCUGGGUAGCUAUGUGUGGACGGGAUAAGUGCUGAAAGCAUCUAAGCAUGAAGCCCCCCUCAAGAUGAGAUUUCCCAACUUCGGUUAUAAGAUCCCUCAAAGAUGAUGAGGUUAAUAGGUUCGAGGUGGAAGCAUGGUGACAUGUGGAGCUGACGAAUACUAAUCGAUCGAAGACUUAAUCAA
rnacentral:rRNA from 1 species